rnacentral:lncRNA from 10 species
GUAAGUAAUGGCUUCAGUUGAAAGUGCUGAAGAAAUUCUUUUCCUAUGUGUGCAAUUUUGACCUUCAGGGGGCGUCCAAGUGCAGCAAAGCUAAAUAAGCUGGCAUGCACCACCCUGUUUUCAUGCUACCUGAGUAACCUUAGCUCAGAAAAAUGUAGCAAAAGCCAAAGUAAGCACUCCUUCCUCAUCUGUCACUGCAUGGACGAGAGCUGAGGCAGCCAUAUUUAAUCAGCACCAAAGUCUCCCCCUGGGUGAUCUCCGGGAGCUUGUGCAAUGUGAUACCAACUGCAGUUCUCUUCAUGAACAUAACCUCAGAACCGAAAGGCUUAUAGGUGGAAGAAACAUGUCUUGAGUCUCAGAUAAGACUUGCGGCUUUGGACUUUGAGUUCACACUGGAACCAAUUAAGACUUUGAGGAAGACUAUUAGGAAGGGAUGAUUGUAUUUUGCAUUGCGAGAAGGACAUGAGAUUUGGGGGACCAGAGGCAGAAUGAUAUACUUCGGAUGUUUGUCUUCUCCAAAUCUCAUGUUGAAAUGUGAUCCCCAAUGUUGGAAGUGAAGCCUGGUGGGAGGUGUUAGGGUCAUGGGGGCAGAUCUCUCAUGAAUGGCUUGGUGCCUACCCCACAAUAAUAAGUGGCAAUGAGUUUACAUGAGGUCUGGUUGUUUAAAAAGAGUGUGGCAUCUCUCCCCUCUCUCUCUCGUUCCCUUUCUCACCACGUGAUAGGUCUGCACACCCUUGGCCUUCUGCCAUGACUGGAAGCUUCCUUAGGCCCUUACCAGAAGCAGAUGCUAGCACCAUGCUUCCUGUACAGCCUGCAGAACUGUGAACCAAAAUAAACUUCUUUUCUUUAUAAAUUAUA